rnacentral:rRNA from 1 species
UACAGAGGCCCCAAGCGUUACUGAGAAUCACUGGGUUUAAAGGGUGCGUAGGUGGCGCGUUAAGUCCGUUGUGAAAUCCCUUGGCUCAACCAAGGAACUGCUUCGGAUACUGGCGUGCUUGAGGCUAGUAGAGGUCACUGGAACUGACGGUGGAGCGGUGAAAUGCGUAGAUAUCAUUUGGAACGCCAAUGGUGAAAACAGCUCGCUGGGGAUGUACUGACGCUGAGACACGAAAGCCAGGGGAGCAAACGGG